CGGGGAGUAGAGUAGUCUGGUAGCUCGCA
rnacentral:tRNA from 1 species